rnacentral:rRNA from 1 species
UAAGGUGAUUACAGCGGCGGGGUUCCACCUCUUCCCAUUCCGAACAGAGAAGUUAAGCCCGCCAGCGCCGAUGGUACUGCAGAAAUGUGGGAGAGUAGGUCGUCGCCAUCC